rnacentral:rRNA from 1 species
AUGAUUUGUGGAACGAUAAGGUGUGGAACGAGCUGCUUAGGGUCCCACUUAGUGAUGGUGCUUCCGGGAGCCGAGUCUUGGUGUGGUGACCACGAGGAUGGGAUUAGAGCACAUCACAUCCAUCAAGUGGACAAGCUAGCGUCGGAAGAUGCUUGGUCCUUGCUAAAGAAGCAGGUAGUUUUGGAUGAAAGUGAUGAAUCCGACGUCGAUGAACUAAAAGAUGUCGGAAUGAAGAUUGUGGGAAAAUGUGAUGGCCUGCCACUUGCAGUUAAGGUUGUCGGUGGACUAUUACUCAGCAAGAACAGAACAAGAGGUGCUUGGAUGGAUGUUCUUAACAACAUCUCAUGGUCAAUUACUGGAACCAAUGAUGAUUUAAAAAAAAGCAGUCUAUGCAUGUGA